rnacentral:rRNA from 1 species
CUAGUAAUCGCAGAUCAGCAUGCUGCGGUGAAUACGUUCCCGGGCCUUGUACACACCGCCCGUCACACCAUGAGAGUCGAUAACACCCGAAGCCUGUAGUCUAACCAUAAGGGGGACGCAGUCGAAGGUGGGAUUGAUAAUUAGGGUGAAGUCGUAACAAGGUAAC